UACGGAGGGUGCGAGCGUUGUCCGGAAUUAUUGGGCGUAAAGCGCGCGCAGGCGGUUUCUUAAGUCCGAUGUAUAAGCCUGGGGCUCAACCCCGGGAGGCAUGGGAAACUGGGAGGCUUGAGUACAGAAGAGGAGAGUGGAAUUCCACGUGUAGCGGUGAAAUGCGUAGAGAUGUGGAGGAACACCAGUGGCGAAGGCGACUCUCUGGUCUGUAACUGACGCUGAGGCGCGAAAGCGUGGGGAGCAAACAGG
rnacentral:rRNA from 1 species